rnacentral:lncRNA from 1 species
GGCCGCUCCCCAGCUUUUGCGUCGUAGAGGCAGUAGAGGCAGCUGUAGCUCGCUACCGUCGUUCGCCUCUGCGUCUCGCCCGUUCUUCGCCGUCUCACCUCGUCUCACCGCUUAUCUGCUUCGCUGUCACCGCCUAGAACGAGCAUUUUCACCCUUUCUCUUUCUUCAGAGUCUUACUAAAGUGCCUUGCCCAACAACGAUGUCGUUCAACGAAGGUGACAAGAAGGGGCAAGUGGUUCCACGAAGGAGGAAAGCUUCUUCGUCGUUCUACUAACAACUCCCCGAAAGAAGCUAAAAUUGACGCGUAGAAGAGUCUGCACUAAGUAUAAGCGCCAGCCGCAUGUCCGCCCGCGAGUGUUGGGACAACGGUAAACCCAAGUGGAAGAAAACAGACUCCGAGAAGAAUCGGGGCAUCCACGCAACAGGAGGGGGCACUGGUAUCGCACCUGCUGAACAAUGGGCCCGUCCCUCCAUCUUGUGGGGGCACUGGUGUCCCACAUGGCGAUGCGGCUGCCAAGCCCAUACAACAGCGGCAGCGCCCGCGCUGGUUGGCCGGUGCUCUCAAUGCUGCCAGCCGCCAUUCCCGAAGCCACAGUGAACGAGCAUGACGACUGGCAUGAUGCCUGAUUCACCUGCCCCACCGCUGCUGGACUAGGGUGGCAUCAUGGAGGUUGCGGUUGCUGUGCCACCAACCAAGCCCCCGCCUCCUCUACCUCCUCAGCCGCCACGUGUGGUUGUCCGAGUGAAGACAACUAAAGGCCGCACCAACUGGAGGAGCUGCACCUGCUGCAGCUGGAGCUACGUCAGUGUCAGGUUGCCUAUUAACAGACGCAGGCUCAGGUUUUUCAUCAGCAGCAGCGUAACAAGCUGGUUCGAGCUUGAGCUGCUUCAGCUCAACAAACUAAUCACGCUGCAACAACUGCUUGGUCUUGGGGCCCAGCCACAACAGUAGGCUGAUUUAUUCAAUUUGUUUCAUCUUCCUCUUUAGUAAUUACCAUUCUCUUUUGUGUUUAAGAAUGCUUUUUUAAAGUCUGUAACUUGCUUCAUUUCAUCCCUGACCUGAAGUUGUUACAAGUUUUGACUGUAUCUCGUUCGUUAAAGCCUAGCAUUUUUUUUAACUUGUUUCUCGAUUCGCUAUUUGUAGUGAACAUUUUAUGCAAAAGGGCAGUUACGUCAGCUUUAAAUCUAUUCUUUUGAAACUUAAAAAGUAACAAAGUAUUUUUUUUUCUUACUAAUUACAUUGUUUGUAUGUUUAGGCAACGGGAAGUUAGUCAGCCCCAGUGAGCAACUUAUCUCCACUGUAGACGAGAUAUUCAGCCAGUGUCGUACCACAGCUAUCCUGGGGUCUUUAACUUCAAUCUCAGUUGUGAUACACAACCGCAUGCUGUUAUAAUGUUCAUCCACAUCGAUACAGGCGGAGGCAGAGAUUGAACUCAAGAUUCCUAUGUUCAGCUGUGCGAGCUUUCACUCCACGUGCCCCAAGCUGUGAUCCGUUAAUGCAGUUGACCACCAAUCCCCUUGAUGGAUAUUAGGAAUCUGUUUGAAUGUACAGCCAGGUGUUUCCUAAACAUUGCCACUAUUAUUUAUGUAAUGUCUCUUUUAUUAGUGUGUAGUCCAUGUGCAGCCUCGCUCAUUAAAUGCUGUUGUCACAGAGUUUUGCCAUGGUUUUCAUUGAGUUAAGACGUCUCAUUUCCUGUCCAGGGGUUUGUGCCUCGCAAUCCUCUAUGAACUUGCACCGCCUACCAGAGUAAAGUCGACACUACAUUGACGAGGCUUGCCCACUGCCUUUUCAUUGCGGAGGUGGCGCCGUGUCCCAGAGCUUUUGGUUGCUUGUCCAAAGAUCCCCAGG